CCCACCCUCUGUAAUAGAGGCCACUGCCGAAGAAGGGAUCAGAGCACUGGAGGAGAAUGAGGAAGACCUUUUUGUGAUUGACUCAAUGGUUCCUUUAAGAAGCAACAUACGUGCAAAACAGUCCCACUCCUCCUCCUUGUCAUCUGCCAUUGUUACAGAACAGUUUCAAACAGACAGGGAACAAACUCAAUCCAUUCCUGACAUGCAAACAACCGAGUCGUUGGCAGCAUCAUCCCCUGACAUGAACAAAACAAUCGAUCAACACGUAAAAAAAUGACAAGGGUAAGCUCUGGCAUGCGCUCCCUGUCCGCUAUGGUGUGUUAGGCACCAUAACACAUCAGAACCUGAAUGGAGGCCCCUGUGUGCUGGGCCUGGGCCCCUGGGUGGAGCUCAUGCCAAACAACUGCGUUGGGCAGCAUCACUUGAAAGCAGCUCCAUAUGCCAUGAUGACCCCCUCCACCACCACAGACAGUCUGAGAAACCAUGUCAUCAUAAGGGUGGAGGAGGACCCACUGCCAGCAGCAUCUCUCCCCUACUGUGGCAGUGAGCAUCCUCUCCUUCAUAGAGUUCGACAUGUGUCCUCUGUCACAAUCAACCUCCGCAUCGACAACGUGCUCCACCGUGACCAUGGACACCUGCUAGGGGUGGGCAGCCACUUCACAGCCCCACCCCCUUCUUCCUGGACACACCAAGCUGGAGCUGACCUCUCACUGCAGGACAGUGAGAUCACAACCAUCUCUCACACCUCUGGUGGCUAUGGCUGGAUGCUGCAACUCCUGACAAUUUCAGAGCCAAGGAGCAACCACAGCCAAAGCCAGAGGCUCAUUCAGUCAUUGCAGGCGUCUGAUCAGAUCCUUCAGCCAUCUUCAACCCCUGAGCACCAAGAGGAGGAAGUUCCAAUGAUGUACACAUGUCUAUGGUUCCAGACAAGGUGAAUGACCCAGGGGUCACUCAGGAGGGUCCAGAAUGGGCAGCAGUGACUUUUCUUUAUUUUUUAUUUAACUAGGCAAGUCUUUUAAGAACAAAUUCGUAUUUACAAUGAUGGCCUACCAAGGAGAAGUGGGUUAACUGCCUUGUUCAGGGGCAGCCUUUCAGUUACUAGCCCAACACUCUAACCACUAGGCUAUCUGACGCCCCCUGGACGUUACAGACCUAUAAGCUGACAUCUUCACCUCAUCACCUCAGCCAAUGCCCAUGUCACUUCACAUCAGUACUUCCAAUCCACACUGUUGACAAGGGAACUGCUCCACACAAGUUCUCCACUUGUUUGCUUUGAAUAAAGUCAUAAUAUGCUAUAUUAGAAUCAACAUGGGACAACUAGUGUAGUAGAUGAUUGGCGAUUGGCUAGGUUAUUUGAAAGAUACAAAAAUAUUCUGUUUUCUUUUUUAGAUAUUUUUGUUAUAUACACUGACUUUACUUCAACAAUUCU